AAACGUUUUUGCCUUCUGAGGUAAUCCAAAUCCUCUGGAAAGGGGUAUCAUGGAGGGUGACGAUCCCGUUCAUGUUUAUUCUCAGGUGCUUUAUGAUACGUUUCGAAGAGUCGAGUUGUUUGGGAUUGCAGCUCAAAAUGGGAGGUAAAUUUCUCCUAAAGCUAAAUAUUGGCGAGAGACCGAUAGCGAACAGGUACCGUGAGGGAAAGAUGAAAAGAACUUUGAAAAGAGAGUUAAACAGUACGUGAAAUUGUUGAAAGGGAAACGAUUGAAGUCAGUCGUACCAACGGGAAAUCAACCUUUCGAGCGGGGUUUUGGGGUUUCAAAGAGUUUCAAAGCCUUUGGGAUUUCAAAUUUCUUCUCUUCUGGUGUACUUUCUCGUAGGUAGGUCAACAUCGAUUUUGAGCAUCAUAAAAAGACUGGAGGAAUGUAGCUUCGAUCUCGUAUUGAAGUGUUAUAGACUUUGGUAAAUGUGAUGAUCAAGAUCGAGGAUUGCAACGAAUAUCCUUUUGGGCUAUUCGUCUGAUCUCUGAUCGUUGCCUUGGUAUCGAAAGCUUGC
rnacentral:rRNA from 1 species